rnacentral:rRNA from 1 species
GACGAACGCUGGCGGCGUGCUUAACACAUGCAAGUCGAGCGGAAAGGCCCUUCGGGGUACUCGAGCGGCGAACGGGUGAGUAACACGUGAGUAACCUGCCCCAGACUUUGGGAUAACCCUCGGAAACGGGGGCUAAUACCGGAUACGACACAGCUUCGCAUGGGGUCUGUGUGGAAAGUUUUUCGGUUUGGGAUGGGCUCACGGCCUAUCAGCUUGUUGGUGGGGUGAUGGCCUACCAAGGCGACGACGGGUAGCCGGCCUGAGAGGGCGACCGGCCACACUGGGACUGAGACACGGCCCAGACUCCUACGGGAGGCAGCAGUGGGGAAUAUUGCACAAUGGGCGGAAGCCUGAUGCAGCGACGCCGCGUGAGGGAUGACGGCCUUCGGGUUGUAAACCUCUUUCAGCAGGGACGAAGCGUAAGUGACGGUACCUGCAGAAGAAGCGCCGGCCAACUACGUG